GACGAACGCUGGCGGCGUGCUUGACACAUGCAAGUCGAACGGAAAGGCCUGCUUUCCCUUGUGGAUUGCGGGUACUCGAGUGGCGAACGGGUGAGUAACACGUGAGUGAUCUGCCCCCAACUUGGGUAUAAGCCUGGGAAACUGGGUCUAAUUCCCGAUAGGACUGCAGGGUGGUGCCUGUGGUGGAAAACGAUUUUCUAGUGGUUGGGGAUGAGCUCGCGGCCUAUCAGCUUGUUGGUGGGGUAAUGGCCUACCAAGGCGGCGACGGGUAGCCGGCCUGAGAGGGUGGACGGCCGCAUUGAGACUGGGAUACGGCCCAGACGCCUACGGGAGGCAGCAGUGGGGAAUAUUGCACAAUGGGCGGAAGCCUGAUGCAGCGACGCCGCGUGGGGGAUGACGGCCUUCGGGUUGUAAACUCCUUUCGACCGCGAGGAAGCCACCUGGUUGGAAGGGUGGUGACGGUAGUGGUAGAAGAAGCACCGGCUAACUACGUG
rnacentral:rRNA from 1 species